rnacentral:misc_RNA from 1 species
UGAUCAUACUAAAGAGUCCUGUGCACAAUGGAAAAUAAGACAAGACAUGAAAAUUUUGAAGAAGAGAGAAUACAUCUUUUCUGUGGUUGAACACAACACAUGUUUGCAAAACCAUGAUUUGCUAUUUGCAAAACCAUGAGCCAGUGCAACUUAACCGUGGGAAGGAUAUUACCAUGAUAUAUCUGUUUUGUUACUUUUGCUAAAUAUGAUUCAUAUUUAGCAAAACUAUCAGAAAUCUCGUAUUCGUCUUAGUGAUUUAACAUUACAUUUAUUCUUGUCGAACUAGAACACUUGCCUUAUAGG